rnacentral:rRNA from 1 species
GAUGAACGCUGGCGGCGUGCCUAAUACAUGCAAGUCGAACGAGGUGCUUUUGUAGCAAUACGAGAGUAUCCUAGUGGCGAACGGGUGAGUAACGCGUGGAUGACCUGCCCCAAAGUGUGGGAUAACAGUCCGAAAGGAUUGCUAAUACCUCAUGUGGUUAUCGGUUUUAGAAAGCGAUAACUAAAGCAGCAAUGCGCUUUGGGAGGGAUCUGCGUCCCAUCAGCUAGUUGGUGAGGUAACGGCUCACCAAGGCGACGACGGGUAGGGGACCUGAGAGGGUGGCCCCCCACAAUGGAACUGAAACACGGUCCAUACACCUACGGGAGGCAGCAGUGGGGAAUCUUGCGCAAUGGGCGAAAGCCUGACGCAGCGACGCCGCGUGGGUGAUG